rnacentral:rRNA from 1 species
UGGGGAAUUUUGGACAAUGGGGGAAACCCUGAUCUAGCCAUCCCGCGUGUGCGAUGAAGGCCUUCGGGUUGUAAAGCACUUUUGGCAGGAAAGAAACGUCAUGGGUUAAUACCCCGUGAAACUGACGGUACCUGCAGAAUAAGCACCGGCUAACUACGUGCCAGCAGCCGCGGUAAUACGUAGGGUGCAAGCGUUAAUCGGAAUUACUGGGCGUAAAGCGUGCGCAGGCGGUUCGGAAAGAAAGAUGUGAAAUCCCAGAGCUCAACUUUGGAACUGCAUUUUUAACUACCGGGCUAGGGUGGGUCAGAGGGAGGUGGAAUUCCGCGUGUAGGAGUGAAAUGCGUAGAGAUGCGGAGGAACACCGAUGGAGAAGGCAGCCUCCUGGGAUAACACUGACGCUCAUGCACGAAAGCGUGGGGAGCAAACAGG